UACGGAGGAUGCGAGCGUUAUCCGGAUUUAUUGGGUUUAAAGGGUGCGUAGGCGGUCCGUUAAGUCAGCGGUAAAAUUGCGGGGCUCAACCCCGUCGAGCCGUUGAAACUGGCAGACUUGAGUUGGCGAGAAGUACGCGGAAUGCGCGGUGUAGCGGUGAAAUGCAUAGAUAUCGCGCAGAACUCCGAUUGCGAAGGCAGCGUACCGGGCGCCAGACUGACGCUGAGGCACGAAAGCGUGGGGAUCGAACAGG
rnacentral:rRNA from 1 species